rnacentral:rRNA from 1 species
AUUGAACGCUGGCGGCACGCCUAACACAUGCAAGUCGAGCGGUAACAUGAGUAGUAGCCAUACUACUUGAUGACGAGCGGCGGACGGGUGAGGAACACGUAGGAACCUGCCCAAAAGAGGGGGAUAACCAAGGGAAACUUUGGCUAAUACCGCGUAAUCUCGAGAGAGAAAAGCUGCCGCAAGGUGGCGCUUUUGGAGGGGCCUGCGUCCGAUUAGCUAGUUGGUGAGGUAAGAGCUCACCAAGGCGAUGAUCGGUAACUGGUCUGAGAGGACGACCAGUCACACUGGGACUGAGACACGGCCCAGACUCCUACGGGAGGCAGCAGUGGGGAAUAUUGGACAAUGGGGGCAACCCUGAUCCAGCGAUGCCGCGUGAGUGAAGAAGGCCUUCGGGUCGUAAAGCUCUUUAGGUUGGGAAGAAGGUUGUGGGAGGAAAUGCCUGCAGCUUGACGGUACCGACAGAAUAAGCACCGGCAAACUCUGUGC